rnacentral:rRNA from 1 species
GGAGGAACCUUGGGAUCGCAAGACCUUGCGCUCAUUGAGCGGCCGAUGCCUGAUUAGCUAGUUGGUGAGGUAAAGGCUUACCAAGGCGACGAUCAGUAGCUGGUCUGAGAGGACGACCAGCCACACUGGGACUGAGACUCGGCCCAGACUCCUACGGGAGGCAGCAGUGGGGAAUUUUGGACAAUGGGGGAAACCCUGAUCCAGCCAUGCCGCGUGAGUGAAGAAGGCCUUCGGGUUGUAAAGCUCUUUCAGCCGGAACGAAACGGUCACGGCUAAUACCUGUGACUACUGACGGUACCGGAAGAAGAAGCACCGGCUAACUACGUGCCAGCAGCCGCGGUAAUACGUAGGGUGCGAGCGUUAAUCGGAAUUACUGGGCGUAAAGCGUGCGCAGGCGGUUUUGUAAGUCAGAUGUGAAAUCCCCGGGCUUAACCUGGGAACUGCGUUUGAAACUACAAAGCUAGAAGGG